AAAAAUGUAACAGCUCAUAUCUUGACCUUUAAUGAAUGGUACCAUAAAAAAUAAGCGUUGAUCGAAACUCUAAGGGGCAAUAUUAAAGAUCCUUUCCUUAUCCUCCCUUGAGCUAAAUUUAACCAAGAACAGCCCAUCCGACAUAGCCACAAAGUUCACUGCCUUUAGGGAUUUUAGAAAGAAAAAAAACCACACCGCUCAACAAAGAACACCCCGUCGGCCAUAACGAGUUCCCUCCCAAAGAUACCUACACAGCCCUAACAUCGAAAACCAGGAAACCACACCGCUCAACAAAGAACACCCCGUCUCACACAACAAAACCAGUAACAGAUAAAAUGCCUACCGAAAACCAAAGACCACCGCCCCAUAACGCAGCCGCAGAAAAAUC
rnacentral:lncRNA from 1 species